UACGAAUGGGGCGAGCGUUGUUCGGAUUUACUGGGCGUAAAGGGCGCGCAGGCGGCUCAUUUUGUCAGGCGUGAAAGCCCCGGGCUUAACCUGGGAACUGCGUUUGAUACGGAUGGGCUAGAGUUCGGGAGAGGAGAGUGGAAUUCCCAGUGUAGAGGUGAAAUUCGUAGAUAUUGGGAAGAACACCGGUGGCGAAGGCGGCUCUCUGGACCGAGACUGACGCUGAGGCGCGAAAGCGUGGGGAGCAAACAGG
rnacentral:rRNA from 1 species